GUCGAACGCGUUGGCCCAAUUGAUUGAUGGUGCUUGCACCUGAUUGAUUUUGGUYGCCAACGAGUGGCGGACGGGUGAGUAACACGUAGGUAACCUGCCCAGAAGYGGGGGACAACAUUUGGAAACAGAUGCUAAUACCGCAUAACARCGUUGUUCGCAUGAACAACGCUUAAAAGAUGGCUUCUCGCUAUCACUUCUGGAUGGACCUGCGGUGCAUUAGCUUGUUGGUGGGGUAACGGCCUACCAAGGCGAUGAUGCAUAGCCGAGUUGAGAGACUGAUCGGCCACAAUGGGACUGAGACACGGCCCAUACUCCUACGGGAGGCAGCAGUAGGGAAUCUUCCACAAUGGGCGCAAGCCUGAUGGAGCAACACCGCGUGAGUGAAGAAGGGUUUCGGCUCGUAAAGCUCUGUUGUUAAAGAAGAACACGUAUGAGAGUAACUGUUCAUACGUUGACGGUAUUUAACCAGAAAGUCACGGCUAACUACGUGCCAGCAGCCGCGGUAAUACGUAGGUGGCAAGCGUUAUCCGGAUUUAUUGGGCGUAAAGAGAGUGCAGGCGGUUUUCUAAGUCUGAUGUGAAAGCCUUUCGGCUUAACCGGAGAAGUGCAUCGGAAACUGGAUAACUUGAGUGCAGAAGAGGGUAGUGGAACUCCAUGUGUAGCGGUGGAAUGCGUAGAUAUAUGGAAGAACACCAGUGGCGAAGGCGGCUACCUGGUCUGCAACUGACGCUGAGACUCGAAAGCAUGGGUAGCGAACAGGAUUAGAUACCCUGGUAGUCCAUGCCGUAAACGAUGAGUGCUAGGUGUUGGAGGGUUUCCGCCCUUCAGUGCCGGAGCUAACGCAUUAAGCACUCCGCCUGGGGAGUACGACCGCAAGGUUGAAACUCAAAGGAAUUGACGGGGGCCCGCACAAGCGGUGGAGCAUGUGGUUUAAUUCGAAGCUACGCGAAGAACCUUACCAGGUCUUGACAUCUUGCGCCAACCCUAGAGAUAGGGCGUUUCCUUCGGGAACGCAAUGACAGGUGGUGCAUGGUCGUCGUCAGCUCGUGUCGUGAGAUGUUGGGUUAAGUCCCGCAACGAGCGCAACCCUUGUUACUAGUUGCCAGCAUUAAGUUGGGCACUCUAGUGAGACUGCCGGUGACAAACCGGAGGAAGGUGGGGACGACGUCAGAUCAUCAUGCCCCUUAUGACCUGGGCUACACACGUGCUACAAUGGACGGUACAACGAGUCGCGAACUCGCGAGGGCAAGCAAAUCUCUUAAAACCGUUCUCAGUUCGGACUGCAGGCUGCAACUCGCCUGCACGAAGUCGGAAUCGCUAGUAAUCGCGGAUCAGCAUGCCGCGGUGAAUACGUUCCCGGGCCUUGUAACACNGCCCGYCACNCNANRRGAGUUUGUAACACCCAANGUCGGUGGGG
rnacentral:rRNA from 1 species